rnacentral:rRNA from 1 species
GAUGAACGCUAGCGGCAGGCUUAAUACAUGCAAGUCGUGGGGCAGCAUGAGUAGCAAUACUUGAUGGCGACCGGCAAACGGGUGAGGAACACGUACACAACCUUCCUUCAAGCGGGGAAUAGCCCAGAGAAAUUUGGAUUAAUACCCCAUAAUAUAUUUGAUAAGGCAUCUUAUUAAUAUUAAAGCUUCGGCACUUGAUGAUGGGUGUGCGGCUGAUUAGAUAGUUGGCGGGGUAACGGCCCACCAAGUCUACGAUCAGUAGCUGAUGUGAGGGCAUGAUCAGCCACACGGGCACUGAGACACGGGCCCGACUCCUACGGGAGGCAGCAGUAAGGAAUAUUGGACAAUGGACGAAAGUCUGAUCCAGCCAUGCCGCGUGAAGGAUUAAGGUCCUCUGGAUUGUAAACUUCUUUUAUAUGGACGAAAAAAGGGCAUUCUUGUUCACUUGACGGUACCAUAUGAAUAAGCACCGGCUAAACUCCGUGCCAGCAGCCG